AAAACAAUUACGUAGGGGGCAAGCGUUAUCCGGAAUCACUGGGCGUAAAGGGUGCGUAGGCGGUCUUGCAAGCCAGAGGUGAAAGGCUAUGGCUCAACCAUAGUGAGCCUUUGGAACUGCCGGACUUGAGUACAGGAGAGGAAAGUGGAAUUCCUAGUGUAGCGGUGAAAUGCGUAGAUAUUAGGAGGAACACCAGUGGCGAAGGCGACUUUCUGGACUGUUACUGACGCUGAGGCACGAAAGCGUGGGGAGCGAACAGGAUUAGAUACCCUGGUAGUCCACGCCGUAAACGAUGAGUGCUAGGUGUCGGGGGUCAAACCUCGGUGCCGCAGCUAACGCAUUAAGCACUCCGCCUGGGGAGUACGCUCGCAAGAGUAAAACUCAAAGGAAUUGACGGGGACCCGCACAAGCAGCGGAGCAUGUGGUUUAAUUCGAAGCAACGCGAAGAACCUUACCUGGACUUGACAUCCCUUUGACCGCUUCUUAACCGAAGCCUUCUCUUCGGAGACAAAGGU
rnacentral:rRNA from 1 species